rnacentral:rRNA from 1 species
UACGGGGGGAGCAAGCGUUGUUCGGAUUUACUGGGCGUAAAGGGCGCGUAGGCGGCUCGUUGCGUCGGCUGUGAAAACCCGCAGCUCAACUGUGGGCUUGCAGCUGAUACGGGCGGGCUGGAGUUCGGUAGGGGAGACUGGAAUUCCUGGUGUAGCGGUGAAAUGCGCAGAUAUCAGGAGGAACACCGGUGGCGAAGGCGGGUCUCUGGGCCGAUACUGACGCUGAGGAGCGAAAGCGUGGGGAGCGAACAGG